rnacentral:tRNA from 1 species
GGGGAUUUAGCUCAGUGGUAGAGCGCUUGCCUCGCAAGUACAAGGCCCUGGGUUCGGUCCCCAGCUCCG